CCCUACGAUGGUCUCUCUUUAGUCUCCGCCUCCCUCAGCUCUCUCUUUAUUCCUCAAAAACUUAAACCUCAUCCUUACAAGCCAGUUUCAAGCUAUUUGCUCCAUUUGUCUCUGUGUUUUUAACUAAAGAGCUCUGCUGCCUCUCUCUGGGGUUUCACUAUUUUGCAUUUUCGCAAAGGUUAUGGCCCAACUGGAUAUGCUUUAUUUGUAGCGGUUUAUGCAGGACUGGAAGUGGAAAAUAUUGGAGCAACUUUCACUUGAAGAUUGGAAAUGGAAGCUCUUUUGUAAUUACUUUAGCUUGUAAUUCUGAUGUUCAAUGAUCUGGAGAUAUCUUAGCAAGUUUUUCAUUCUUUAAUUUAGGUGAUGCGAUUUGCACAUUAAUUGUUUGGUCAAAAGUUGAGUUAAUGAAGUUGUACAUAGAGUUUUUCAAUACUUUAUCUGGGAUUUGUUGGGUAUUGGAUCUUAUAAACAGUGAAAACAAGGCUGAUUAGUUCUUUCUU